rnacentral:siRNA from 1 species
CAAGGACAGGCCUCAUGCUCCA